CAACAUAUAUCUACCACAUAAAUCUCCUCUUGUCACUCUGAAAAAGAUUUUGUAAUUCAAACAUUAGUUAAAAAAAAACAUGGCCAAGGACAAUCAAGUAGAUAUACCGGAUAUAUCUUGCAAAGCUUUCUAAUUCUCUUACUAUGUAUUACUAUGUGUAAAUUCGAUUAUUUUUUUUAAUCUAUUGGGAUCAAUUCAAACUAACAAGUUAGAUUGUACUUCUCUGGAGCUCAUUUAUCUCACUUGUGUAUUGAUAUGGUGUGGUCAAUCUUACUCCCAUGGAGAACUUAAGCAAUAUCAAAAUUUUAGAUAAUGCAUGGUCAGAUCAUAACAUAUUGUUGUGGGAAAUGAAAGAUCAAUGGAGCAAAAAAUGUAGAACCACUCUUGGAGAUUCUGAGAGUAGGUUUGGACUAAAAAGGAUACAUACACUUUAAUGUAAUAAUGUCUUUGAUACACAAUGUCAGUGUUUUACUGAUACAUUCACUCUAAGUUAACUAAGUAACUCACUAAUUAUUUUUAUUCACCCCCCCUCCCCUUGACACCAAAUGGUGUCACUUACAGACUAUACUGGGAAAUUACAAAACAAAAUUUAUAUGGCAGUAAUUAACCAUAGGUUUUUUAUGAUAUUCAACAUGUGCACUUUGGC